rnacentral:rRNA from 1 species
UACGAAGGUGGCAAGCGUUGUUCGGAUUCACUGGGCGUACAGGGUGUGUAGGCGGUUUGGUAAGCCUUCUGUUAAAGCUUCGGGCCCAACCCGGAAAGCGCAGAGGGUACUGCCAGGCUAGAGGACGGGAGAGGAGCGCGGAAUUCCCGGUGUAGCGGUGAAAUGCGUAGAGAUCGGGAGGAAGGCCGGUGGCGAAGGCGGCGCUCUGGAACGUUACUGACGCUGAGGAGCGAAAGCGUGGGGGAGCGAACAGG